AGUGAACGCUGGCGGCGUGCCUAAUACAUGCAAGUCGAACGGAGAUUAAGUAGCUUGCUAUUUAAUCUUAGUGGCGCACGGGUGAGUAAUAUAUAGCUAACUUGCCCAUUACUAAGGGACAACAGUUGGAAACGACUGCUAAUACCUUAUACUCCGUAUCUAUAUAAGUAGAUACGGGAAAGUUUUUCGGUAAUGGAUAGGGCUAUAUCGUAUCAGCUAGUUGGUAAGGUAAUGGCUUACCAAGGCUAUGACGCGUAACUGGUCUGAGAGGAUGAUCAGUCACACUGGAACUGAGACACGGUCCAGACUCCUACGGGAGGCAGCAGUAGGGAAUAUUGCUCAAUGGGGGAAACCCUGAAGCAGCAACGCCGCGUGGAGGAUGACACUUUUCGGAGCGUAAACUCCUUUUCUUGGGAAAGAAUUAUGACGGUACCCAAGGAAUAAGCACCGGCUAACUCCGUGCCAGCAGCCGCGGUAAUACGGAGGGUGCAAGCGUUACUCGGAAUCACUGGGCGUAAAGGACGCGUAGGCGGAUUAUCAAGUCUCUUGUGAAAUCUAACGGCUUAACCGUUAAACUGCUUGGGAAACUGAUAAUCUAGAGUAAGGGAGAGGCAGAUGGAAUUCUUGGUGUAGGGGUAAAUCCGUAGAGAUCAAGAAGAAUACCCAUUGCGAAAGCGAUCUGC
rnacentral:rRNA from 1 species